GAUGAACGCUGGCGGUAUGCCUAACACAUGCAAGUCGUACGAGAGUUUUUAACUCAAGUGGCGGACGGGUGAGUAACGCGUGAGAAUCUGCCCUCAGGAGGGGGAUAACGGUUGGAAACGGCCGCUAAUACCCCAUAUGCCGCGAGGUGAAAUGAAUUUCGCCUGAGGAUGAGCUCGCGUCUGAUUAGCUAGUUGGUGUAGGUAAUGGCUCACCAAGGCAUCGAUCAGUAGCUGGUCUGAGAGGAUGAUCAGCCACACUGGGACUGAGACACGGCCCAGACUCCUACGGGAGGCAGCAGUGGGGAAUUUUCCGCAAUGGGCGAAAGCCUGACGGAGCAACGCCGCGUGAGGGAUGAAGGCCUCUGGGCUGUAAACCUCUUUUAUCAAGGAAGAAGAUCUGACGGUACUUGAUGAAUAAGCCACGGCUAAUUCCGUG
rnacentral:rRNA from 1 species